AACGAACGCUGGCGGCGUGCCUAACACAUGCAAGUCGAACGAGAAAGGGGCUUCGGCUCCGAGUAAAGUGGCGCACGGGUGAGUAACACGUAGGUAACCUGCCUCUAAGAUUGGGAUAACUUGUCGAAAGACGAGCUAAUACCAAAUGAGACCACAGUCUCCUCGGGGACAGAGGUCAAAGGUAGCCUCUAUUAUAAGCUAUCGCUGAGAGAUGGGCCUGCGUACCAUAGCUUGUUGGUGAGGUAACGGCUCACCAAGGCAAAGAUGGUUAGCUGGUCUGAGAGGAUGAUCAGCCACACUGGAACUGAGACACGGUCCAGACUCCUACGGGAGGCAGCAGUGGGGAAUAUUGCGCAAUGGGCGAAAGCCUGACGCAGUAACGCCGCGUGAGUGAUGAAGGCCUU
rnacentral:rRNA from 1 species